GGGGAAUUUUGGACAAUGGGGGCAACCCUGAUCCAGCCAUGCCGCGUGAGUGAAGAAGGCCUUCGGGUUGUAAAGCUCUUUCAGACGGAAAGAAAACGCAUCGGUGAAUACCCGGUGUGGAUGACGGUACCGUAAGAAGAAGCACCGGCUAACUACGUGCCAGCAGCCGCGGUAAUACGUAGGGUGCGAGCGUUAAUCGGAAUUACUGGGCGUAAAGCGUGCGCAGGCGGUUAUGUAAGACAGAUGUGAAAGCCCCGGGCCCAACCUUGGAACUGCGUUUGUGACUGCAUAACUAGAGUACGGCAGAGGGAGGUGGAAUUCCGCGUGUAGCAGUGAAAUGCGUAGAUAUGCGGAGGAACACCGAUGGCGAAGGCAGCCUCCUGGGCCAGUACUGACGCUCAUGCACGAAAGCGUGGGGAGCAAAC
rnacentral:rRNA from 1 species